AAAGAAAUAUUCUAAAGAAGCUUCUAACUUCUUAAAGAGCAAGAUCCUGUUCAU
rnacentral:tRNA from 1 species